rnacentral:rRNA from 1 species
GGAGUCUGGGCCGUGUCUCAGUCCCAAUGUGGCCGUUCAAUCUCUCAGUCCGGCUACUGAUCAUCGACUUGGUGAGCCGUUACCUCACCAACUAUCUAAUCAGACGCGAGCCCAUCUUUGAGUGAUAAAUCUUUGAUAAAAAUAGGAUGCCCUAUCUCUAUGUUAUGAGGUAUUACCAUCCGUUUCCAGAAGCUAUCCCUCUCUCAAAGGCAGGUUGCUCACGUGUUACUCACCCGUCCGCCACUAAGAUAAUCCAAGUAAACUCAAAUUAUCUCCGUUCGACUUGCAUGUGUUAGGCGUGCCGCCAGCGUUCGUCCUCGAGCCAUGAUCAAACUCU